rnacentral:lncRNA from 1 species
UAUCCUCAUUCACACAUUAAGAACUUGAGGCUUAGAGAUGGUGGCAUACACAGUCACAGAGAAAUCAUAGCCAGGCUAAUCAGUCUGACUCCAGUGCCCAUGUUCUUACUCACCAAGCUAUGCUCACUUUUAAUAUAUUUUAUAAAACAUCUUUUCCUCCUAUUGUCAGUGUCCCCAAAUGCCUGUUAAAAUUUGGCACUUGUGAGUCAGCAAUGUCUUUUCCCCUCAUCUUGCCUGCCUUUCUGAGCAUGUGUGCUUGUCAGCAGUUUGCCAGCUGGCUCCGAAGUUGGCUCUGUUCAACCCAGGGGAGGCUACGCCUGAAAGACCUGGGGCUUGGCAAGCAGCAGCAGCCCAGGCUGUACCGUUCACUGUAGGAGCUAGGUGAGGGCCUCCCAUUCCAGAACUGACCUGCUGUCAUCUGAUUGUCAUCACCACCAUUUGCUGCCUAAGAUCAGGCAGCGUGCUAGGCAAUUUAUGGACUUUGUCUCAUUUAAUCUUCUGAAAACCACAGAAAGUUGGUGCAACCGUUACCUUUUUAAUAGGGAGAUUAAAUACUUGCCCAGGGUCAUAUAGCCAGUAUGUGGUAAAACAAGGAUUUAAACCUAUACUUGACUUCAGACAUUUUAACCACUAAUAAGAAGAGCAAACGUUUAUAUAGUGGCUCCAUGUGUCAUCAUCAUUCUUUGUUUGUUUGUUUGUUUUU